GCCCCAGUAGCUCAGUUGGAUAGAGCGUCGGUUUCCUAAACCGCAGGUCGUGCGUUCGAGUCGCGCCUGGGGCACCA
rnacentral:tRNA from 2 species